AGUGAACGCUGGCGGUAGGCCUAACACAUGCAAGUCGAACGGCAGCACAGUAAGAGCUUGCUCUUACGGGUGGCGAGUGGCGGACGGGUGAGGAAUACAUCGGAAUCUACUUUUUCGUGGGGGAUAACGUAGGGAAACUUACGCUAAUACCGCAUACGACCUACGGGUGAAAGCAGGGGAUCUUCGGACCUUGCGCGAUUGAAUGAGCCGAUGUCGGAUUAGCUAGUUGGCGGGGUAAAGGCCCACCAAGGCGACGAUCCGUAGCUGGUCUGAGAGGGUGGUCAGCCACACUGGAACUGAGACACGGUCCAGACUCCUACGGGAGGCAGCAGUGGGGAAUAUUGGACAAUGGGCGCGAGCCUGAUCCAGCCAUACCGCGUAGGUGAAGAAGGCCUGCGGGUUGUAAAGCGCUUUUGUUGGGAAAGAAAAGCAGCAGGUUAAUACCCCGCUGUUCUGACGGUACCCAAAGAAUAAGCACCGGCUAACUUCGUG
rnacentral:rRNA from 1 species